GUGCUCGCUUCAGCAGCACAUUUACUAAAUUUGGAACGAUACAGAGAUUAACAGGGUCCCUGUGCAAGGAUGACACACGAAUUCGUGAAGUAUACCAUAUCCAA
ensembl:snRNA U6 U6 spliceosomal RNA